GGGGAAUAUUGCACAAUGGGGGAAACCCUGAUGCAGCGACGCCGCGUGAGGGAAGACGGUCCUCUGGAUUGUAAACCUCUGUCUUCGGGGACGAAACGAGACGGUACCCGAGGAGGAAGCCACGGCUAACUACGUGCCAGCAGCCGCGGUAAUACGUAGGUGGCAAGCGUUGUCCGGAAUUACUGGGUGUAAAGGGAGCGUAGGCGGGCAGGCAAGUCAGGCGUGAAAUAUAUCGGCUCAACCGGUAACGGCGCUUGAAACUGCAGGUCUUGAGUGAAGUAGAGGUUGGCGGAAUUCCUAGUGUAGCGGUGAAAUGCGUAGAUAUUAGGAGGAACACCAGUGGCGAAGGCGGCCAACUGGGCUUUUACUGACGCUGAGGCUCGAAAGUGUGGGGAGCAAACAGGAUUAGAUACCCUGGUAGUCCACACCGUAAACGAUGAUUACUAGGUGUGGGGGGACUGACCCCUUCCGUGCCGGAGUUAACACAAUAAGUAAUCCACCUGGGGAGUACGGCCGCAAGGUUGAAACUCAAAGGAAUUGACGGGGGCCCGCACAAGCAGUGGAGUAUGUGGUUUAAUUCGACGCAACGCGAAGAACCUUACCAGGUCUUGACAUCGUAUGCAUAGUGUAGAGAUACAUGAAGUCCUUCGGGACAUACAGACAGGUGGUGCAUGGUUGUCGUCAGCUCGUGUCGUGAGAUGUUGGGUUAAGUCCCGCAACGAGCGCAACCCUUGUAUUUAGUUGCUACGCAAGAGCACUCUAGAUAGACUGCCGUGGACAACACGGAGGAAGGUGGGGAUGACGUCAAAUCAUCAUGCCCCUUAUGACCUGGGCUACACACGUACUACAAUGGCAAUGGAACAGAGGGAAGCGACUCAGCGAUGAGAAGCAGAUCCCGAAAAAUUGUCUCAGUUCGGAUUGCAGGCUGCAACCCGCCUGCAUGAAGUCGGAAUUGCUAGUAAUCGCGGAUCAGCAUGCCGCGGUGAAUACGUUCCCG
rnacentral:rRNA from 1 species